rnacentral:rRNA from 1 species
UGCCUAACACAUGCAAGUCGAACGCGGCUAUCCCGCAAGGGAUAGCUGAGUGGCGAACGGGUGAGUAACGCGUGGGUGACCUACCUUCGAAUGGGGGAUAACGUCCCGAAAGGGACGCUAAUACCGCAUAACAUCCCGCCUUUGAACAGGCGGACAUCAAAGCUGGGGAUCGCGAGACCUGGCGUUUGAAGAGGGGCCCGCGUCUGAUUAGCUAGUUGGUGAGGUAACGGCCCACCAAGGCGACGAUCAGUAUCCGGCCUGAGAGGGCGGACGGACACACUGGGACUGAGACACGGCCCAGACUCCUACGGGAGGCAGCAGUGGGGAAUUGUUCACAAUGGACGAAAGUCUGAUGCAGCAACGCCGCGUGGAGGAUGACACAUUUCGGUGCGUAAACUCC